CAGGGUAUAGCUUAGUGGUAGAGUGCAUGCUUAGCAUGCACGAGGUCCUGGGUUCAAUCCCCAGUACCUUCA
rnacentral:tRNA from 1 species